rnacentral:rRNA from 1 species
UACGUAGGGGGCGAGCGUUAUCCGGGAUUAUUGGGCGUAAAGAGUACGUAGGUGGUUUACUAAGCGCAAGGUGAAAGCCCGGGGCUUAACUCCUGCGAGCCUUGUGAACUGGCAGACUUGAGUGCAUGAGGGGAAAGUGGAAUUCCUAGUGUAGCGGUGAAAUGCGUAGAUAUUAGGAGGAACACCAGUGGCGAAGGCGACUUUCUGGACUGUAACUGACACUGAGGUACGAAAGCGUGGGGAGCAAACA